rnacentral:tRNA from 1 species
GGGGCUAUAGUUUAGUGAUAGAGUAUAUGUCUUGCACACAUGAGGUACUGGCUUCUACCCCAAUAGCCUCU